rnacentral:rRNA from 1 species
GAUGAACGCUGGCGGCGUGCCUAAUACAUGCAAGUCGAGCGAAGCGGGGACGGUUGAGUAACACGUGGAUAACCUCCUAUAAGUCUGGGUUAACUUCGGAUAACCGGAGCUAAACCGGAUACUCAUUGAUGGUUCCUGGCUGCAUUAGCUAGUUGGUAAGGUAACGGCUUACCAAGGCAACAAGGCAUAGCCGACCUGAGAGGGUGAGAGGCCACACUGAAACUGAGACACGGUCCAGACGCCUACGGGAGGCAGCAGUAGGGAAUCUUCCGCAAUGGGCGAAAGCCUGACGGAGCAACGCCGCGUGAGUGAUGAAGGGUUUCGGAUCGUAAAACUCUGUUGUUAGGGAAGCGGUACCUAACCAGAAAGCCACGGCUAACUACGUGCCAGCAGCCGCGGUAAUAC